rnacentral:rRNA from 1 species
AUAAGCUAAAUAAGGGCGUAUGGAGGAUGCCUAGGCUUUCAGAGGCGAAGAAGGACGUGAUAAGCUGCGAUAAGCUACGGGUAGGGGCACAUACCUUAUAAUCCGUAGAUUUCCGAAUGGGGCAACCCAGUACAUUGAAGAUGUAUUACCCGCAAGGGGGCAAACGUGGUGAACUGAAACAUCUAAGUAACCAUAGGAAGAGAAAACAAAAGUGAUUCCGUUAGUAGUGGCGAGCGAAUGCGGAUUAGCCCAAACCAAUAUUGUUACGGCAAUUUUGGGGUUGUAGGGUUGCGAGAUUAGAAUCUAAGAGAACUAGAAGUGUUUGGAAAGACACACCGAAGAGAGUGAAAGUCUCGUAUAGGUAAUCGAAGAAGAUAUAGCAGUACCCUGAGUAGUGCGGGACACGUGUAAUCCUGUAUGAAUCAGCCGGGACCAUCCGGCAAGGCUAAAUACUCCUGAAAGACCGAUAGUGAACUAGUACCGUGAGGGAAAGGUGAAAAGAACCCUAAUUAAGGGAGUGAAAAAGAACCUGAAACCGUACGCCUACAAGCGGUCGGAGCAUAUUAAUAUGUGACGGCGUGCCUUUUGCAUAAUGAGCCUACGAGUUACUGUUGUUAGCAAGGUUAAGAAUUUAAGGUUUGAAGCCGUAGCGAAAGCGAGUCUGAAUAGGGCGAUUUAGUUAUCAGUAGUAGACGCGAAACCGAGUGAUCUACCCAUGGGCAGGUUGAAGUUUAGGUAACACUAAAUGGAGGACCGAACCAGUUGACGUUGAAAAGUCUUUGGAUGACCUGUGGGUAGGGGUGAAAGGCCAAUCAAACUCGGAAAUAGCUCGUACUCCCCGAAAUGCAUUUAGGUGCAGCGUUGAUUAAGAGUUUUAUAGAGGUAGAGCUACUGAUUGGAUGCGGGGGCUUCACCGCCUACCAAUUCCUGACAAACUCCGAAUGCUAUAAAAUGUUUAUCAACAGUGAGGGCAUGGGUGCUAAGGUCCAUGUCCGAGAGGGAAAGAACCCAGACCAUCAGCUAAGGUCCCCAAAUAUAUGUUAAGUUGAAAAAACGCGGUGAAACUGCUUAGACAGCUAGGAUGUUGGCUUGGAAGCAGCCAUUCAUUUAAAGAGUGCGUAACAGCUCACUAGUCGAGCGGUUUUGCAUGGAUAAUAAUCGGGCAUAAACAUAUUACCGAAGCUAUGGAUUUCAAUAUUUUAUAUUGAAGUGGUAGGGGAGCAUUCUAUGUGUUUAGAAGGAUUACUGUGAGGUAUUCUGGAACGCAUAGAAAAGAAAAUGUAGGCAUAAGUAACGAUAAAGGGGGCGAGAAACCCCCUCACCGAAAGACUAAGGUUUCCUCAGCGAUGCUAAUCAGCUGAGGGUUAGUCGGGGCCUAAGGCGAACCCGAAAGGGGUAGUCGAUGGACAACAGGUUAAUAUUCCUGUACCUGCUCACGAUAAAAGUGACGGAUUUCCCAGGUACUUACGCACAGACGGAAUUGUGCGUUGAGCCUAUCCUUCGGGAGAAGCGAAAGUAAGUAAGAGGUUCCAAGAAAAGCGAGUGAAGCAGCCCGUACCGUAAACCGACACAGGUAGUUGGGAUGAGAAUUCUAAGGUGCUCGAGAGAUUCAUGGCUAAGGAACUAGGCAAAAUAGACUCGUAACUUCGGGAGAAGAGUCGCCAACAGUAAUGUUGGCCGCAGUGAAAAGAUCCAGGCGACUGUUUAUCAAAAACACAGGGCUUUGCUAAAUUGAAAGAUGAUGUAUAAGGCCUGACACCUGCCCGGUGCUGGAAGGUUAAGUGGAGUUGUUAGCAUUAGCGAGGCAAUGAAAUGAAGCCCCAGUAAACGGCGGCCGUAACUAUAACGGUCCUAAGGUAGCGAAAUUCCUUGUCGGGUAAGUUCCGACCUGCACGAAUGGUGCAACGAUCUGGAUACUGUCUCAGCCAUGAGCUCGGUGAAAUUGUAGUAUCGGUGAAGAUGCCGAUUACCCGCAGCGGGACGAAAAGACCCCGUGAACCUUUACUAUAGCUUCGUAUUGACUUUGGAUAAGUAAUGUGUAGGAUAGGUGGGAGACAAUGAAGUGGCGUCGCUAGGCGUUGUGGAGUCGUCCUUGAAAUACCACCCUUUGCUUAUCUAGAGCCUAACUCAGCAAUGAGGACAGUGCGUGGUGGGUAGUUUGACUGGGGUGGUCGCCUCCAAAAGAGUAACGGAGGCUUCUAAAGGUUCCCUCAGCACGCUUGGUAACCGUGCGUAGAGUGCAAUGGCAUAAGGGAGCUUGACUGAGAGACAUACAGGUCGAUCAGGUACGAAAGUAGAGCAUAGUGAUCCGGUGGUUCCGUGUGGAAGGGCCAUCGCUCAAAGGAUAAAAGGUACUCCGGGGAUAACAGGCUGAUCUCCCCCAAGAGCUCACAUCGACGGGGGGGUUUGGCACCUCGAUGUCGGCUCGUCACAUCCUGGGGCUGGAGAAGGUCCCAAGGGUUGGGCUGUUCGCCCAUUAAAGUGGCACGCGAGCUGGGUUCAGAACGUCGUGAGACAGUUCGGUCUCUAUCUGCUGUGGGCGUUAGAAAUUUGAGUGGAUCUGACUUUAGUACGAGAGGACCGAGUUGGACUGACCUCUAGUGUACCAGUUGUCACGCCAGUGGCACUGCUGGGUAGCUACGUCGGGAAGGGAUAAGCGCUGAAAGCAUAUAAGCACGAAACCCACCACAAGAUGAGAUUUCUUUAAAGGGUCGUUGGAGAUUACGACGUUGAUAGGCUAUAGGUGUAAAGGCAGUAAUGUCAAAGCCGAGUAGUACUAAUAACCCAUAGGCUUAUUAGC